rnacentral:rRNA from 1 species
GACGAACGCUGGCGGCGUGCUUAACACAUGCAAGUCGAACGGAAAGGCCCUGCUUUUGUGGGGUGCUCGAGUGGCGAACGGGUGAGUAACACGUGAGUAACCUGCCCUUGACUUUGGGAUAACUUCAGGAAACUGGGGCUAAUACCGGAUAGGAGCUCCUGCUGCAUGGUGGGGGUUGGAAAGUUUCGGCGGUUGGGGAUGGACUCGCGGCUUAUCAGCUUGUUGGUGGGGUAGUGGCUUACCAAGGCUGUGACGGGUAGCCGGCCUGAGAGGGUGACCGGCCACAAUGGGACUGAGAGACGGCCCAGACUCCUACGGGAGGCAGCAGUGGGGAAUAUUGCACAAUGGGCGGAAGCCUGAUGCAGCAACGCCGCGUGCGGGAUGACGGCCUUCGGGUUGUAAACCGCUUUCGCCUGUGACGAAGCGUGAGUGACGGUAAUGGGUAAAGAAGCACCGGCUAACUACGUG